rnacentral:rRNA from 1 species
UACAGAGGGUGCGAGCGUUAAUCGGAAUUACUGGGCGUAAAGCGUGCGUAGGUGGUUUGCUAAGUCAGGUGUGAAAUCCCUGGGCUCAACCCAGGAACUGCAUUUGAUACUGGCGGACUAGAGUGUGGUAGAGGAUAGUGGAAUUCCCGGUGUAGCGGUGAAAUGCGUAGAUAUCGGGAGGAACAUCAGUGGCGAAGGCGGCUAUCUGGACCAACACUGACACUGAGGUACGAAAGCGUGGGGAGCAAACAGG